UACGUAGGGGGCUAGCGUUGUCCGGAAUCAUUGGGCGUAAAGCGCGUGUAGGCGGUUCGGUAAGUCCGCUGUGAAAGUCGGGGGCUCAACCCUCGGAUGCCGGUGGAUACUGUCGAGCUUGAGUACGGAAGAGGCGAGUGGAAUUCCUGGUGGUAGCGGGUGAAAUGCGCAGAUAUCAAGGAGGAACACCAAUUGCGAAGGCAGCGUCGCUGGGACGUUACUGACGCUGAGACGCGAAAGCGUGGGGAGCAAACAGGA
rnacentral:rRNA from 1 species